rnacentral:rRNA from 1 species
AUUGAACGCUGGCGGCAGGCCUAACACAUGCCAGUCGAGCGGAUGAAGGGAGCUUGCUCCUGGAUUCAGCGGCGGACGGGUGAGUAAUGCCUAGGAAUCUGCCUGGUAGUGGGGGAUAACGUCCGGAAACGGGCGCUAAUACCGCAUACGUCCUGAGGGAGAAAGUGGGGGAUCUUCGGACCUCACGCUAUCAGGUGAGCCUAGGUCGGAUUAGCUAGUUGGUGGGGUAAAGGCCUACCAAGGCGACGAUCCGUAACUGGUCUGAGAGGAUGAUCAGUCACACUGGAACUGAGACACGGUCCAGACUCCUACGGGAGGCAGCAGUGGGGAAUAUUGGACAAUGGGCGAAAGCCUGAUCCAGCCAUGCCGCGUGUGUGAAGAAGGUCUUCGGAUUGUAAAGCACUUUAAGUUGGGAGGAAGGGCAGUAAGUUAAUACCUUGCUGUUUUGACGUUACCAACAGAAUAAGCACCGGCUGACUUCGUG